UACCAGCACCCCGAGUGGUCGGGACGUUUAUUGGGCCUAAAGCAUCCGUAGCCGGUUCUACAAGUCUUCCGUUAAAUCCAGCUGCUUAACAGAUGGGCUGCGGAAGAUACUAUGGAGCUAGGAGGCGGGAGAGGCAAGCGGUACUCGAUGGGUAGGGGUAAAAUCCGUUGAUCCAUUGAAGACCACCAGUGGCGAAGGCGGCUGCCAGAACGCGCUCGACGGUGAGGGAUGAAAGCUGGGGGGAGCAAACCGG
rnacentral:rRNA from 1 species